AUUUGAAUACAAUAGUAUUGAGCCCAAGUAAAACUGGAUGAAUUGCAGGGAAAACUAAAAAUGAAUUUAGUUAAUCUGCAGCGAAGCUAUUAUCGGCACCUUAUUAACUUAUCAGUUAAUUUGUAGAUAAUAGAACGUUCAACGACUAAUCGGUGAGCUGUGCUAGCAAUAAUCCGGACACGAGCGUCCAGCAGAAAAUAAUUAAUAUUUAUUUUCUGAUGAAAUAGUCUGAACAAUGGUGUGAAUCAUUG
rfam:Triticum urartu cultivar G1812 contig97470, whole genome shotgun sequence.